AGAACGGCCCUUUUUAGGGCCACCAUAUGAAUCUUACAUUGAAUC
rfam:Cerapachys biroi unplaced genomic scaffold scaffold198, whole genome shotgun sequence.